UCUCUAGAAGCCUUAGGCCGAUUAGUUAGACUGAUCUUUGUGAUAUAGCUUUUGUGGUCUUGUUUAGCGAUUACGCAUUGCCGUGCUGUCUUCAACAAAUCUCUCUGCUCUUCUCCUUGAUGCGGAGAUUAGUUAACCCCUGGGCCAGUUAAGAGAGUUUGAGGCAUAGCCCAGGUGUUUUUAGCGAAGCCGAAAUGAAAUGUUGGUAGUUCCGCCGGGGAAGAAGAAGAAUUCUAGAUCGAAUGCGACUGGGAUUGAGGAAGGCUAGCUUUGACGGGGUUCAGGCUCCAGGGGAAUGCUUUUUAAGCUCUAACCAGGAAAUGAAAUAUUAAUAGAAUUCUUCCAUUAGACGGUCAGAUCAAGCUAUUGAAGAAUUUUGACUUGGGGCAGUUUCACAGGGGUGUAGCGAGCAGAAAAUUCCCUAGAAGACAAAGCUAGCUCUAUAAGGUAAGGAAGAAAAUCAGUCAACACUAAAAGCCCAAAGGCUAGCGAUGUCACCGCCGGGUAGGAGUUCAAUUCAAGAAGAUGGAUCCGUUUAAGCCGCUAUUUCAUCAGCAUCUGGCACUGCUUGACUUGCUUUCACUGCUUGUAGCUUGAACGUGGCACUAAAGCUUCCAUGUCAACUAAAGAGUGAACGAAAGACAGUAGAGCACAGAGGGAAUUACCAAUGAAACAGUAGAGUGAAAGUAGUUUUACUAAUUUUGACUAAAUCUUGACUUCUUCUAAAAGCAUCAGCGUAUUAUGCUCUUACUCUUUUUUUUGUCUCUUUUUGUCUCUUUCUCUUUCAAUUUUAUG
rnacentral:lncRNA from 1 species